rnacentral:rRNA from 1 species
ACGAACGCUGGCGGCGUGGAUAAGACAUGCAAGUCGAACGAGAGAAUUGCUAGCUUGCUAAUAAUUCUCUAGUGGCGCACGGGUGAGUAACACGUGAGUAACCUGCCCCCGAGAGCGGGAUAGCCCUGGGAAACUGGGAUUAAUACCGCAUAGUAUCGAAAGAUUAAAGCAGCAAUGCGCUUGGGGAUGGGCUCGCGGCCUAUUAGUUAGUUGGUGAGGUAACGGCUCACCAAGGCGAUGACGGGUAGCCGGUCUGAGAGGAUGUCCGGCCACACUGGAACUGAGACACGGUCCAGACACCUACGGGUGGCAGCAGUCGAGAAUCAUUCACAAUGGGGGAAACCCUGAUGGUGCGACGCCGCGUGGGGGAAUGAAGGUCUUCGGAUUGUAAACCCCUGUCAUGUGGGAGCAAAUUAAAAAGAUAGUACCACAAGAGGAAGAGACGGCUAACUCUGUGCCAGCAGCCGCGGUAAUACAGAGGUCUCAAGCGUUGUUCGGAAUCACUGGGCGUAAAGCGUGCGUAGGCUGUUUCGUAAGUCGUGUGUGAAAGGCGCGGGCUCAACCCGCGGACGGCACAUGAUACUGCGAGACUAGAGUAAUGGAGGGGGAACCGGAAUUCUCGGUGUAGCAGUGAAAUGCGUAGAUAUCGAGAGGAACACUCGUGGCGAAGGCGGGUUCCUGGACAUUAACUGACGCUGAGGCACGAAGGCCAGGGGAGCGAAAGGGAUUAGAUACCCCUGUAGUCCUGGCAGUAAACGGUGCACGCUUGGUGUGCGGGGAAUCGACCCCCUGCGUGCCGGAGCUAACGCGUUAAGCGUGCCGCCUGGGGAGUACGGUCGCAAGAUUAAAACUCAAAGAAAUUGACGGGGACCCGCACAAGCGGUGGAGUAUGUGGCUUAAUUCGAUGCAACGCGAAGAACAUUACCUGGGCUUGACAUGUAAUGAACAACAUGUGAAAGCAUGCGACUCUUCGGAGGCGUUACACAGGUGCUGCAUGGCCGUCGUCAGCUCGUGUCGUGAGAUGUUUGGUUAAGUCCAGCAACGAGCGCAACCCCUGUUGCCAGUUACCAGCACGUGAAGGUGGGGACUCUGGCGAGACUGCCCAGAUCAACUGGGAGGAAGGUGGGGACGACGUCAGGUCAGUAUGGCCCUUAUGCCCAGGGCUGCACACGUACUACAAUGCCCAGUACAGAGGGGGCCGAAGCCGCGAGGCGGAGGAAAUCCUGAAAACUGGGCCCAGUUCGGACUGUAGGCUGCAACCCGCCUACACGAAGCCGGAAUCGCUAGUAAUGGCGCAUCAGCUACGGCGCCGUGAAUACGUUCCCGGGUCUUGUACACACCGCCCGUCACAUCAUGGAAGCCGGUCGCACCCGAAGUAUCUGAAGCCAACCGCAAGGAGGCAGGGUCCUAAGGUGAGACUGGUAACUGGGAUG